UGCCCUGUGGUGUAACUGGCAACAUCCCUACCUUUGAAGUAGGAGAUUCCAGGUUCAAAUCCUGGCGGGGCAACCA
rnacentral:tRNA from 1 species